rnacentral:tRNA from 1 species
GCGUGUCUCCCGUGGUCAAGGUGGCGGUCAAACCCAAGGACGGCAAGGAUUUGCCCAAGUUGGUU